GGCGACCCAGGCGGGCGGCUGCGGGAUGCAAUGAUUGAAUAGGAAGGGGAAAAAAAUUCUCCCUCCCGGAUGGGGUGUCUACCUCUGGGUAGUCUGGUAGGGUAGCACCAAAGUUCUCAAUAUGAUGACUGGAUAAAGCCGCACGCCAGUGACGCACGAGCCGGCUGCAGAAGAAAUUUCCCUUCAGUUUUCAUUCAUCAUUUCCAAUACACAGGCUUCUCUCCCCUGCUCCGUCACACCCCACGGUCUCUCUCUCAUCUCAUUGCCCUCUUCUGCCUCAGCCGCAGAGCCGUGAAGCUCGCUUUCAAUUUCACAUCAUUCAUCAGGUUACAGAUGCAUGCCACUGAUUUCCUCUUCCCAUCUUGUCUUUCUGCGGCAAAUGCACGAAUGAGGACUUUGCUUAGAGCCUGGGUUUUCAACAGUGGGACCCCUGAGGGUCCUUGAAGAUACUGUAGUAGGUCCCUGGUCGGACUUGAUAUGCCAUGACUGUAUUUAGAUUUGAAAUUUUUUUUAUUUUUUAUUUAAAACGUUUCAAAAUAUAUUUAACCCUUUUUAACUUAUGAUGGGAUGACGGGGGUCCCUUGGAUACCUCUGCGUUUGGGUGGGGGGGUCCCUGGAUUCGAAAAGAUUGAAAGCCCCUGACGUAGAGGGCGUGAGCUGAGCUCGUAUGUAAUUACCUGUUUAGAGACGCUUAACAUCUAGUCGCGUAGACAAGUAGUAGUAAGUCGAUUACCAUGCACGUAAGCCGAAAAAUGAAAAGCAUUAGUGAAUAAACUGCUUAUUUUGCUUUUAUGCGCAAUAGCUACUGUAUGGAGAAGUGUACACGUUCUUCAUUUGUAAAAUAAAUGGUUUUUUAUCUUAA